UGCGAGUCGAAUGUAGCAAUACAUGGCGAACUGCUCAGUAACACGUGGACAACCUGCCCUUAGGUUGGGUAUAAACCCGGGAAACUGGGUAUAAUACCCGAUAGGUCUCGAUUGCUGGAAUGCAUCGAGAUUUAAAGCUCCGGCGCCUAAGGAUGGGUCUGCGGCCUAUCAGGUAGUAGUGGGUGUAGCGUACCUACUAGCCUACGACGGGUACGGGUUGUGAGAGCAAGAGCCCGGAGAUGGAUUCUGAGACACGAAUCCAGGCCCUACGGGGUGCAGCAGGCGCGAAAACUUUACAAUGCUGGCAACAGCGAUAAGGGAACCUCGAGUGCCAGGUUACAAAUCUGGCUGUCGAGAUGCCUAAAAAGCAUUUCAUAGCAAGGGCCGGGCAAGACCGGUGCCAGCCGCCGCGGUAACACCGGCGGCUCGAGUGGUAACCGUUAUUAUUGGGUCUAAAGGGUCUGUAGCCGGCCGGAUAAGUCUCUUGAGAAAUCUGGCAGCUUAACUGUCAGGCUUUCAGGAGAUACUGUCUGGCUCGAGGCCGGGAGAGGUGAGAGGUACUUCAGGGGUAGGGGUGAAAUCUUGUAAUCCUUGAAGGACCACCAGUGGCGAAGGCGUCUCACCAGAACGGACCUGACGGCAAGGGACGAAAGCUAGGGGCACGAACCGGAUUAGAUACCCGGGUAGUCCUAGCCGUAAACGAUACUCGCUAGGUGUCGGCCACGGUGCGACCGUUGUCGGUGCCGUAGGGAAGCCGUGAAGCGAGCCACCUGGGAAGUACGGCCGCAAGGCUGAAACUUAAA
rnacentral:rRNA from 1 species